rnacentral:rRNA from 1 species
CACGUAGGGGUGCGAGCGUUGUCCGGAAUUAUUGGGCGUAAAGGGCUCGUAGGCGGUCCGUCACGUCGGGAGUGAAAACUCGGGGCUUAACCCCGAGCCUGCUUCCGAUACGGGCGGACUAGAGGUAGGUAGGGGGAGAACGGAAUUCCUGGUGUAGCGGUGGAAUGCGCAGAUAUCAGGAGGAACACCGGUGGCGAAGGCGGUUCUCUGGGCCUUACCUGACGCUGAGGAGCGAAAGCGUGGGGAGCGAACAGG